rnacentral:rRNA from 1 species
AUGGCCCAGAUGGCCCAACAAAAGAAGGAGAGCUCGUCUGGGGGUGGAACUGUUACCCCUCCUGAGAGCAGUAGAGGUGUUCCAGCUGAUGAGACUAAGAAAGAGUUUAAUAGAGGAAAAGAUCACAUGAACAAAAGUGAAGCUAACAUGGAUGUGGGGAACAAGCAAGGUCAGAAGGGAUGGUUUCAGAAUAACAGGUUUGGUCAGAGAGAGAGCUUGGAUCAAAACAAAGAUGGUGGAAACUUCAGAGUGAUAUGCAACAAGUGUAAGGACACCAGACACCUGACAGGGACUGCAAGUUACCCAACUAUAUUAUUUUUGGCAAGAAUUCUCACAUCACUGAGGAUUGUGCUUGGCUGA